rnacentral:rRNA from 1 species
UACGGAAGGGGCAAGCGUUGUUCGGAAUCAUUGGGCGUAAAGGGCGCGUAGGUGGUUCUGUAUGUCUACCGUGAAAGCGUACGGGUCAACCGUAUUUUGUCGGUGGAAACUGCAGGACUUGAGGCUGGGAGGGGCUGGUGGAAUUCCCUGUGUAGCGGUGAAAUGCGUAGAGAUGGGGGAGAACACUCGUGGCGAAGGCGGCCAGCUAGACCAGUUCUGACACUGAGGCGCGACAGCGUGGGGAGCAAACAGG